rnacentral:rRNA from 1 species
UGGGGAAUAUUGCACAAUGGGCGCAAGCCUGAUGCAGCCAUGCCGCGUGUAUGAAGAAGGCCUUCGGGUUGUAAAGUACUUUCAGCGAGGAGGAAGGUGUUGUGGUUAAUAACCGCAGCAAUUGACGUUACUCGCAGAAGAAGCACCGGCUAACCUCCUGCCAGCAGCCGCGGAAUACGGAGGGUGCAAGCGUUAAUCGGAAUUACUGGGCGUAAAGCGCACGCAGGCGGUCUGUCAAGUCGGAUGCGAAAUCCCCCGGGCUCAACCUGGGAACUGCAUCCGAAACUGGCAGGCUAGAGUCUUGUAGA